rnacentral:rRNA from 1 species
CGAACGCUGGCGGCGUACAUAACACAUGCAAGUCGAACGAGAAAUUCCGAUUCGUCGGGAAAGUAAAGUGGCGAACGGGUGAGUAACACAAGGGUAAUCUACCCUUAAAUUAGGGAUAACCUUGCGAAAGCGAAGCUAAUACCUAAUAAGACUACGAUCUUUUAGGGGAUUGUAGGAAAAGAUGGCCUCUGUUUCAUGCUAUCGUUUAAGGAGGAGCCCUUGCACUAUUAGCUUGUUGGCGGGGUAACGGCCCACCAAGGCUACGAUGGUUAGCUGGUCUGAGAGGAUGACCAGCCACACUGGAACUGAGACACGGUCCAGACUCCUACGGGAGGCAGCAGUGAGGAAUAUUGCGCAAUGGGGGAAACCCUGACGCAGUGACGCCGCGUGAGUGAUGAAGGCUUUCGAGUCGUAAAGCUCUGUUAGGUGGAAAGAAACAUUCCAGUGCCAAUACCACUGGAACUUGACGGUACCACCAGAGGAAGCACCGGCUAACUCC